CGGCAAAAAGCUGAAUCGUGGCUUUGCAGGCUCGGGUUGAAAAAAAGUAGCGUGUUUGGGUAGUGGCUGGUUACAGUACUGUGAGACUCAGGCUCGUGCCCGCGUCGACAGAAUGCUUUGUUUUCUUUCGUCUGUUUACCUAAACGCAGAUUCCCGGUCUGAAUAUUAUCGCUUUUUUACGAGAAAAAUGGCAUAAAAAUUGAUUUUAAACAGCGGUUGACAUGCUUCGAAGUACGGUAAUGGAAUAUUUAGAAAUCUUUUGUCACGAAUUGCGCCAUGCUCGUGACCCUUAUUUACACUUCGGAUAGUGUCUUGAACCUACGAACAAAACGCCACUAUUUGGAUAUAACGAUGGAUUAUUUUGGACCAAACCAAUAUUUGUUAUUGAAGUAGCAGUCCUGGGAGUGCAUUCUGACGAAGACAACAAAGCUCUCCUGUGAAGUCGUGACUUCCGAUAUAUGCCUAGUUUCCUGAAUCAGGUCACAUAUUGACAUUGACUGACCACAGGAGCUUGGCCGGAUCUGUCAUUUAGGCUACUUCAUAACCAUAUCUGUGAUGAGAUGGGCCUGGAGCUGAUCUACUGGCACACACCUCAGAAAGGACAAAAGACAGAAGUGGUUCUCAGCGGAUGCCCAGCGGUGUGGAGUGUGUAGAGAUUGAUUGCUCAGCAGGACACUGACCCGAGCAUUUAGAGUCCCUGUGGCCUCUAGUGAUGGACUAGCCAGUCUCUCCCCCUAGUUAUCCUAGUGUGUGCGAUAAGCUGCAACGGGCCUCGUCAAGAGACUGGGAAAUAUCACUCCAAGUAGUGAUGAACUCCGUGGGCUGGAGAUGUUAACUAACAUUGUGGCCAAGAAGAGAGGAAGACAAGCAUUGUAAUUAUAAUAUACCAACAUGCAUUCUUCGAUCAAUAAUAUACUUUGAAAUAUAAAAAUGUGAUAUUAUCCUCUUGAACUUGAUAAAAGUUCAAAUUCAAAUGGACAAUACCUUAAUUUUAAUCUGAAUACAUGAGUUUGCUUAUGAUGCUGUUUUAUGUGAAUAUUGAAACCCUAGACAACACGUCUACUGUAUAAAAAAAGAGGGUACAACAAGUACAAAGUUGAAGUCAGAAGUUUACAUACACCUUAGCCAAAUACAUUUAAACUCAGUUUUUCACAAUUCCUGACAUUUAAUCCUAAUAAAAAUUCCCUGUUUUAAGUCAGUUCGGAUAACCACUUUAUUUUAAGAAUGUGAAAUAUCAGAAAA
rnacentral:lncRNA from 1 species